rnacentral:rRNA from 1 species
GCAUGUGGCUUAAUUUGACUCAACGCGGGAAAUCUUACCGGGUCCGGACACACUGAGGAUUGACAGGCAAUAUAUGUGACUCUUCGGAGUUUGCAUUGUUAAAUAUGCUAGUCCUUUCAUGAUUAUGUGAUAGGUGGUGCAUGGCCGUUCUUAGUUCGUGGAGUGAUCUGUCUGCUUAAUUGCGUUUCAAAUUACUUAUAAGGUAGCAAUACGCGAUGAAGCUUUCAAUAGUCCUCACGGAUUCACUUGAGUCUCUCGCUUCGCUAUCCUUUCGAAUGCAACGAACGUGACCGCAACCUCUUGUUGCCUUCGUUUAACAUCCUGCAGCUCGCUGUGGGUACUGAGGGCUUCACUCGGUGACUUUGGGCUGAGCAAUCGGUCUUUUGAUCUGAGUAAACUAGAGGGACCGCUGUCAACUUCUUAAACCAGAGGAAGGUUGCGGCAAUAACAGGUCUGUGA